ACGCUCGACACCUACGGGGGCAGCAGUGGGGAAUAUUGCACAAUGGGGGAAACCCUGAUGCAGCGACGCCGCGUGGAGGAAGAAGGUCUUCGGAUUGUAAACUCCUGUUGUUGGGGAAAAAGAGGAUGGUACCCAACAAGGAAGUGACGGCUAACUACGUGCCAACAGCCGCGGUAAUCUGAGCGGGCUGGCAAGGC
rnacentral:rRNA from 1 species